GAACUAAGAAUAAUUUAUUCACUCAUUAAUUUAUUAACAAAAUUUCACGAACCAUUAUUAUGUUACAGACACCUUUCCAGCAGUGACUAUAUUUGCCCUCUGAGAAGCCUUGAAUGGUCGAAAUGAAGUGAUGAUCAGUCCUGAUUUCAUCCUUGUGGGACCAUGCUAGCUCUUUUCUGCUCUCAUUAAAGUGCUGUGCUCCUCCUCUCCCCUGCCCUGCCCCAUGAGGAAGAGACAAGGAUGGAUGGAACCAGAGUGUAGGGAAGGAUUUUCUCAUAAUUCAAAAGCCCAUGAAGAUCUCUAGACUACCAGACUACAACAAUUUACUGGAUGCAGCGUACAUGUUGUUUCACUGAGUUCUCCUGGGGAUCUUCAUUUCAACUAGACCCAUGAAUCCUGUCUACACAUUUAUCUGCAAAGACUGUGGGAAAUGCUCUGUCAUCACAAAGAGGAGGAAAUCUUUCUUGAAGGUUUCCUCUGCAUAGACAACCAGGAGAUGCACUUAUGUUCAAGUGAGAGUGAGUCAAAUGAUGGCCUUGAAAAUACUGCUAACAAACUCUGCCAAACCUCCCAUCCCUCUCCCUCAAGACCCCUCAGCAUGCCCCUUGAACUCUCAAGAUCUUGAGUGAUAAAUCCUCAACUGGAAAGGGAGGAUUAUCUUGCUACAGUUGGCCUGGUCCCAACGACCUCCAAAUAACUUACUGGUGCCAGCCUGCUUCCUCAGGACCUGCUCCUAACUAUUUCUUCAUCAAGCUUUGGAUUGAAUAAGACACAGACAAGAUGUCUUCACUUGUGAGUUGCUGAGAGUUGCUGACCAGGACCCUGUCCUGAAGCUGUUCUCUGUUCCACCGGUGCAAACAAUGUGUAUCUGAGAAGGGGACAUUGUUUCCGCCUCCACUGUUUUACAGUGUUUUGAAUUCUUUAAUUUUUUUAAAUUAGAAUACAGUUGAUUUACAAUGUUGCAUUAGUUUCUCCUAUACAGCAAAGUAUAUCAGUCAUACAUAUCCCUAUGUCAACUCUUUUAGAUUCUUUUCCCAUACAGGUCAUUACAGAGUAUUCAAAAGUGUUCCCUGUGCUACAUAGUAGGUCUUUACUAGUUUAUUUUAUAUAUAGUAGUAUGUGUAUAUCAAUUCCAGUCUCCCAGUUUAUCCCUCCCACCC
rnacentral:lncRNA from 1 species